UCAACCGCAAAAGAAGCAGAGGGGGCUUAGUGGUGGGGUGACUGCGUACCUUUUGUAUAAUGGGUCAGCGACUUAUAUUCUGUAGCAAGGUUAACCGAAUAGGGGAGCCGGAGGGAAACCGAGUCUUAAUUGGGCGUUAAGUUGCAGGGUAUAGACCCGAAACCCGGUGAUCUAGCCAUGGGCAGGUUGAAGGUUGGGUAACACUAACUGGAGGACCGAACCGACUAAUGUUGAAAAAUUAGCGGAUGACCUGUGGCUGGGGGUGAAAGGCCAAUCAAACCGGGAGAUAGCUGGUUCUCCCCGAAAGCUAUUUAGGUAGCGCCUCGUGAAUUCAUCUCCGGGGGUAGAGCACUGUUUCGGCUAGGGGGCCAUCCCGGCUUACCAACCCGAUGCAAACUGCGAAUACCGGAGAAUGUUAUCACGGGAGACACACGGCGGGUGCUAACGUCCGUCGUGAAGAGGGAAACAACCCAGACCGCCAGCUAAGGUCCCAAAGUCAUGGUUAAGUGGGAAACGAUGUGGGAAGGCCCAGACAGCCAGGAUGUUGGCUUAGAAGCAGCCAUCAUUUAAAGAAAGCGUAAUAGCUCACUGGUCGAGUCGGCCUGCGCGGAAGAUGUAACGGGGCUAAACCAU
rnacentral:rRNA from 1 species